AUCCCUACGGGAGGCAGCAGUGGGGAAUAUUGGACAAUGGGGGAAACCCUGAUCCAGCGACGCCGCGUGAGUGAAGAAGUAUUUCGGUAUGUAAAGCUCUCUCAGCAGGGAAGAAAAUGACGGUACCUGACUAAGAAGCCCCGGCUAACUACGUGCCAGCAGCCGCGGUAAUACGUAGGGGGCAAGCGUUAUCCGGAUUUACUGGGUGUAAAGGGAGCGUAGACGGCGCGGCAAGUCUGAAGUGAAAGUCAGGGGCUUAACCCCUGACCUGCUUUGUA
rnacentral:rRNA from 1 species